UAGAGUUUGAUCAUGGCUCAGGAUGAACGCUGGCGGCGUGCUUAACACAUGCAAGUCGAACGGACUUAUAUUGAAACCUAGUGAAAUAUAAGUUAGUGGCGGACGGGUGAGUAACGCGUGGAUAACCUGCCGUAUACAGGGGGAUAACACUUAGAAAUAGGUGCUAAUACCGCAUAAGCGCACAGGGCCGCAUGGCCCGGUGUGAAAAACUCCGGUGGUGUAAGAUGGACCCGCGUCUGAUUAGCUUGUUGGCGGGGUAGGGGCCCACCAAGGCGACGAUCAGUAGCCGGCCUGAGAGGGUGGACGGCCACAUUGGGACUGAGACACGGCCCAAACUCCUACGGGAGGCAGCAGUGGGGGAUAUUGGACAAUGGGGGAAACCCUGAUCCAGCGACGCCGCGUGAGUGAAGAAGUAUUUCGGUAUGUAAAGCUCUGUCAGCAGGGAAGAAAGAAAUGACGGUACCUGACCAAGAAGCCCCGGCUAACUACGUGCCAGCAGCCGCGGUAAUACGUAGGAGGCAAGCGUUAUCCGGAAUGACUGGGCGUAAAGGGUGCGUAGGUGGUUUGACAAGUUGGUAGCGUAACUCCGGGGCUCAACCUCGGCACUACUACCAAAACUGUCGGACUUGAGUGCAGGAGGGGCAAAUGGAAUUCCUAGUGUAGCGGUGGAAUGCGUAGAUAUUAGGAGGAACACCAGUGGCGAAGGCGAUUUGCUGGACUGUAACUGACACUGAGGCACGAAAGCGUGGGGAGCAAACAGGAUUAGAUACCCUGGUAGUCCACGCUGUAAACGA
rnacentral:rRNA from 1 species